GGGGAAAAAUUAAUUAUAUAAAAAUAAUAAAAAUAGUUUUAAUAUUAAAAUUGGGAGGGGUUUUAGUAUUAAUUUAGAAAAAAUUAUUAAAUUUAUAGUUAAAUAGUAUUGUAAAAGAAGUUUAAAAUAUUUUGAAAAUAAAUUUAUUUUAAAGUAAAAUUUAUUUUUUGUAUCUUGUGUAUCAGAGUUUAUUAAUUAAAAAGGUUUGGGUAAAUUAAAUCUCGAAUUUAAAAGAGAUAAUUAAUUAAAAAAGUUAUUGUAGUAAAAAUAUUUUUAAUAAUUAAUUUGAAAUGAAAUGUUAAUCGUUUUUAAAUAUAUCUAGUUUUUUUAGAAAAAAAUUUAAUUUUUUUUUUUUUUAUAAAAAAUUAAUUAAUUAAUUUUUUAUAAAAAAAAAAAUAUAUUUUAAGGGAUAAGCUUUAAAUUAGAUUAUUAUAAUUAUUAAAUAAUUUUUAUAUUAAAAUUUUUAAAAUUUAUAUUGUUUAUAAUUUUUAAUUUAUUAUAAAUUAAUUUUAAUUAAAUUAAAAUUUUUUAAUAAUUUAAUUUAUUUAUAAAAAAAUAAUUUUUAAUAUGUUAAAAUUAGAUAUAAUGAUAAAAUUAGUAUUUAAAAAUAAAAAUCAAUUAAUAAAUUAAGUAAAAUGAAUUAAAGGAAUUCGGCAAAUAAUUAUUAUAUUCACUUGUUUACCAAAAACAUGUCUUUUUGUUAAUAAUUUAAAGUCUAAUCUGCCCACUGAUAAUUAUUAAAGGGCUGCAGUAUAUUGACUGUACAAAGGUAGCAUAAUCAAUAGUCUUUUAAUUGGUGACUUGUAUGAAGGAUUGGAUGAAAUAUAAGCUGUCUUUAAUUUAUUAAAAGAAAUUAAUUUUUUGAUUAAAAAGUCAAAAUAAAUUUAAAAGACGAGAAGACCCUAUAGAGUUUAAUAAAUUUAAAAAUUAAAAUUAUUUAUUAAAAUAUUAAUUAAAAUUAUUAGAUUUAUUUUAUUGGGGUGAUAAAAAAAUUUAAUUAACUUUUUUUAAAAUAAAACCUUAAUAAGUGAGUAGAUGAUCCAAAAUUAUUUUGAUUAUAAGAAAAAAUUACCUUAGGGAUAACAGCGUAAUUUUUUUUUUUAGUUGUCAUAAAAAAAAAAGUUUGCGACCUCGAUGUUGGAUUAAGAUAAAAUUUAUAUGCAACAGUAUAAAAUUUUGAUCUGUUCGAUCAUUAAAAUCUUACAUGAUCUGAGUUCAAACCGGGGUGAGCCAGGUUGGUUUCUAUCUUUAAUAAAAAAAUAUAUUUUAGUACGAAAGGAAUAAUUAUUUAAAUUAAAUUUAUUAAUUUAAGAAUAAUAUUAAAAUUUAUUUUAAAAAUAAAUAAAAUAAUUAUAUACAUAUAUAUAUAUAUAUAUAUAUGUAUAUAUUA
rnacentral:rRNA from 1 species